AUUGAACGCUGGCGGCAGGCCUAACACAUGCAAGUCGAACGAGUGGCGGACGGGUGAGUAAUGUAUGGGAAACUGCCUGAUGGAGGGGGAUAACUACUUGAAACGGUAGCUAAUACCGCAUACCAUCGGAUGUGCCCAGCUGGGAUUAGCUAGUAGGUGGGGUAACGGCUCACCUAGGGGACGAUCCCUAGCUGUUCUGAGAGGAUGAACAGCAAAACUGGAACUGGGACAAGGGCCAGAUUCCUACGGGAGUCAGCAGUGGGGAAUAUUGCACAAUGGGCGCAAGCCUGAUGCAGCCAUGCCGCGUGUAUGAAGAAGGCCUUAGGGUUGUAAAGUACUUUCAGCGGGGAGGCGUUACCCGAAGAAGAAGCACCGGCUAACUCCGUGCCAGCAGCCGCGGUAAUUC
rnacentral:rRNA from 1 species